GGAUGUGAGGGCGAUCUGGCUGUGACAUCUGUCACUCCACCGAUGGCCAGCUUUGAUUCUGCUGACCUGGCUGGUUAGGCGCCUUUCCCCUUCCUCCUCAGCCGUCCAUAUCCUCUUGAAUACACCCACUGGGUGGAAGACAACCACCUUCCCACAUAGAGGAUGGAUCAGUGGUCAAGGUUAUAGGAGCAGCUGUGAUCCCCUCCCUACUAGAACCUCCAAACAGACUCUAACGGUCCAUUUGUAGGACAGUGUAGAGAGGUCAAACUUCCGAGAUUCUAGACACAUCCAAAUGAGGAGUUGCAUGUGAUAUUCUGUCUUUCUUU
rnacentral:snRNA from 1 species